UUUCUCCUUCCUCCAACCUCGAGAGAUUUAAACAAAUUCAGUGCACAUAAUUUCCUAUAAAUGCCACUGAGAAUUCUCCUCCCAACACAGGAGCAUCGCCUGUAAGACAGAGAGGGAGAUCUGUGUGUCACAAUGGGAGCUAUUGUAGCAUUAGCAAUGUUUCUGGGGACUUUAUAUUAUGGUCACUGUGUUGAACUCACACAGCCAGGCUUUAUGGUUAUAAAACCAGGACAGUCUCUGAUCAUCUCCUGUAAAGUCUCUGGGUAUUCCCUGACUGAUAGCAGCUAUGCUACACACUGGAUCAGACAGCCUGCAGGGAAAGCUCUGGAGUGGGUGGCAGGUAUAGGAUGGAAUGGAGACACUGCUUAUAAAGAUUCACUAAAGAGCAAAUUCAUCAUCACCAGAGACACCUCCAGCAGCACAGUGACUUUGCAGGGGAGCAGCCUGCAGACUGGAGACACAGCUGUGUAUUACUGUGCCCGAUACCCACAGUGCAGCAAAGCAACACUAGAGCUGUACAAAAACACAUCACACUGAGUGUCAUCACUGAACACACACACACUCUACCUGCAUGUAGCGCUCACUGGCCUCAUAUUCACCAUUAUAUAAUUAUGGAAUUGCAAGUUUAAUAAAUUAGUUUUUCAUUUUAUGUUCUUGUGGCAGAGCUUGGUUUGCGGGAGGAAUUCAGGGCAGUUAGAGGACCAUGCCUACUGGUUAAGUAGGCACACACCUGGAUUGUGUUACGAAUCAGUCUAGGAUUUAAAAGUGUGCUUCUUUCCACAGCAGGCGUCUGAGACCGGGGAUCCCCCACGAUGGUGAGAGAGAGCCCGUCAAGGCAUAAAUGGCCUGAAAAGCGACAGUUUAUGAUUUCAUUUAUUUUGCCUUUGUUGUUUUAGUUUAUUGUUUUUGCACAAAUCCCGUGAGGUUGACGGGCAAAGGUUUUUUCUUUUAUGUUAUGUGAAUGAACAAGCUCUCUCUCUCGCUAAUCAAAAUAAAAAUCCGCAGUUGUCUGGAAUUUCCGCAUCUUCCUGUGUCCAGCUCUUCUGUGCCUACCAGGGGGGUCAUGGCGUGUUCUAAAUAUCCCUUCUUUCAUAAGCAUUAAAAGAAGAUAAAGACACAAAAGACACAUUGAACUGAGGCCUGGAUUCGGUCAACAUUUGUCGUUCUUUUCAAUUUAAAUGCCAGCGUUUGUUUAUUCUUCACAAACUGUAAUGUGUUUGGUAAGUUA